GACGAACGCUGGCGGCGUGCUUAACACAUGCAAGUCGAACGGAAAGGCCCUGCUCUUGUGGGGUGCUCGAGUGGCGAACGGGUGAGUAACACGCGAGUAACCUGCCCUUGACUUUGGGAUAACUUCAGGAAACUGGGGCUAAUACCGGAUAGGAGCUCUUGCUGCACGGUGGGGGUUGGUAAGUGUCGGCGGUUGGGGAUGGACUCGCGGCUUAUCAGCUUGUUGGUGGGGUAGUGGCUUACCAAGGCUUCGACGGAUAGCCGGCCUGAGAGGGUAGACGGCCACAAGAGGACUGAGGGACGGCGCAGUCGGCUACGGGAGGCAGUGGUGGAAAAUAUUGCGCAGUGAGCGGAAGCCUGAUACGACGGCGCCGCGAGCGUGAAGACGUCCUUCGGGUUGUAAACCGCUUUGGCCUGUGACGAAGCGGGAUUGACGGUAAUGAGUAAAGAAGCACCGGCUAACUACGUG
rnacentral:rRNA from 1 species